rnacentral:rRNA from 1 species
GAUGAACGCUGGCGGCGUGCCUAAUACAUGCCAGUCGAGCGAACAGACGAGGAGCUUGCUCCUCUGACGUUAGCGGCGGACGGGUGAGUAACACGUGGAUAACCUACCUAUAAGACUGGGAUAACUUAGGGAAACCGGAGCUAAUACCGGAUAAUAUAUUGAACCGCAUGGUUCAAUAGUGAAAGACGGUUUUGCUGUCACUUAUAGAUGGAUCCGCGCCGCAUUAGCUAGUUGGUAAGGUAACGGCUUACCAAGGCAACGAUGCGUAGCCGACCUGAGAGGGUGAUCGGCCACACUGGAACUGAGACACGGUCCAGACUCCUACGGGAGGCAGCAGUAGGGAAUCUUCCGCAAUGGGCGAAAGCCUGACGGAGCAACGCCGCGUGAGUGAUGAAGGUCUUCGGAUCGUAAAACUCUGUUAUUAGGGAAGAACAAAUGUGUAAGUAACUAUGCACGUCUUGACGGUACCUAAUCAGAAAGCCACGGCUAACUACGUG